rnacentral:rRNA from 1 species
AGGGUUUGAUCCUGGCUCAGAACGAACGCUGGCGGCAGGCCUAACACAUGCAAGUCGAACGAACCGUGUCCUUCGGGGCACAAUGGUUAGUGGCGCACGGGUGAGUAACGCGUGGGAAUAUGCCUUGGAGUACGGAAUAACUAAGGGAAACUUUAGCUAAUACCGUAUACGCCCUAAGGGGGAAGAUUUAUCGCUCCAGGAUUAGCCCGCGUCUGAUUAGCUUGUUGGUAGGGUAACGGCCUACCAAGGCUACGAUCAGUAGCUGGUCUGAGAGGAUGGCCAGUCACACUGGGACUGAGACACGGCCCAGACUCCUACGGGAGGCAGCAGUGGGGAAUAUUGGACAAUGGGGGCAACCCUGAUCCAGCCAUGCCGCGUGAGUGAAGAAGGCCUUCGGGUUGUAAAACCCUUUCAGCGGGGACGAUGAUGACGGUACCCGCAGAAGAAGCCCCGGCUAACUCCGUGCCAGCAGCCGCGGUAAUACGGAGGGGGCUAGCGUUGUUCGGAAUUACUGGGCGUAAAGCGCGCGUAGGCGGUGUGCAUAGUCAGAGGUGAAAGCCCGGGGCUCAACCCCGGAACUGCCUUUGAUACUGGCAUGCUAGAAUCCGUGAGAGGGUAGUGGAAUUCCUAGUGUAGAGGUGAAAUUCGUAGAUAUUAGGAAGAACACCAGUGGCGAAGGCGACUACCUGGCACGGCAUUGACGCUGAUGUGCGAAAGCGUGGGGAGCGAACAGGAUUAGAUACCC